rnacentral:lncRNA from 1 species
GGGGAGAGAAGAGAGGGAGGGAGGUAGUGUGCCGGAGAGGGCGUUGUAGGAGAAGUCAAUGGUUAUAAGGGUUUUCAUUUGGGACAAGAAAUUGGGUAUCUGGCCAGAGACGUUGGUGUGGGUGAUGUAGAGAAAACGGAGUUUGGUGAGUUUGGCGAUGGAGGGGGGGAUAGGACCGACGAGGUUGUUGAUGCGAGAAAUGUAGAGAAAACUGAGGUAGGGGAGGUUGGCGACGGAGGAAGGGAUAGGGUAGGGUUUGGUGAGGCUAAGGUCGUUGAGGUCGAGGCUGUUGACGCGGUAUGUUUUGGUGUCGAUGUCGCAUGAGACACCUUCCCAUUCCGGUUUGCAGCAGUCGGUGUUUGGGAGCCAGGAGGAGAGGGUGGUUGGAUUGCCGAGGUCUUUCUUGAUCUGGAGAAGGGCUUGCUUGUCUUGUGGGUUGCAUAGUUCAGAGAGUGCAGUUCUCAAGACCAGGACCAUGAUGACGAGUACGGUGAUGCUUAAGCGUGCCAUGCUCUUAGGGAUUUCGAUUCUAUGUGAUUUGAUCUGUGAAAAGUGUGGAUGAGUUGUGACAUUUAUAGAAGAAGUGUGGAGGGAAGAAAGAUAAGAGAAAAAGAAAAAAGUUAUUGAGCACCCCUUUUGGUUUAUUCAUCAGUGCUGUUGUUUUGUUAUUGAACACGUCUUUCUUUUUCUUUACAUAUAACCACAGGAUAAUUUUAUGUGAUACCAGAUUUUUCAAUGGUACGUUGGUCAUCUCACUCAUCAAUAUUUUGUUACUAUUUACUGCAGAAUGAGAGUCAUUAGCUCAUUUAAAACAAGUAAUUUUGGAUAAGGGAAGGUUCAACAUAAUCAUUCCGUAAUAUUGUAGAAUUAAAAACUUGCAUGCUGGAUAGAGUAAUGUUGAUUAUUGAUGAUUUCUUCUCACCUAUGAAUGAAAUUGUUCUUUUUGGUCACAUUUGUCAUAUUUUUUAUUUGCUCAAUGAUUCAAGCUAUUACUACCUGUCUCAAUUGAUUAGUGUAAUUGUCUCUUUUUCGGGGGUUACUUCACAUUAGCAUAUAGGUUUGCUCACUAUUUUUACUGUUAGCCAAACUUGAAAAACUUUUAUAGUUAUGCUCUGUCAUUAACAUAUAUACAUUAUUAGUGUAAGUUGGCCUACCUUAAGAAGAAUUUUGCCAGCUAUGGUACUUUCAUCUUUGGAGAUCUCUCAAGAUAUCUACGACAUUCUAAUUUUUUUUAUUUAAAAGAAGUAGGAUAUAAUAAAACUUGAUGAAGGUUUCGUGGAGAUAUUAUUUACAACACAGCCCUUUUGAAAAUUUAAAAUUCGUUUUCCCUCCCGAGCUAAAUAUUGGACAGACAAAUCUGAACUAAAGGUCCUUUUCUUAAUUUUUACAUAUUUUUUCCAUCUCUUUUUCUAUUUUUGGGUAGGUUUUUCUGAUGUGUUUUAUUAUCUACAUGACCCCUUCCUGGACAAGCAGGACGCAGAUAUAUGACUUUCUCCUUCACUUUUAAAAUUCUGGUUUUUUUUUUUUUUCCAGAUUGCAUCUUUGAGGAGUGGUUCUUUUGGUUGGUUCUAUUCAUCACAAACUUUCUUCUUUUUUUCUCUAGUUUUUUUUUUCUUGUUCUCCAGUCUGUUCGUAUUCUUCUUCUCUUCUCCAGUGCCUUCAUCCUUCACAUAAAUUUUUAAUAUUUUUUUUCUAUUUAGAAUUUUGUUUAUUAAAUGUGGUUACUACUUUUUUAUUAUGUUUACUGUUUUUUAUUUCUAAUAAAUGUAAUUAUAUUCUUUUAUAUAUGUUUAUUGUUUACAGUUUUUAUUUUUCUAAAUGUAUUUACUUUCCUUCAUUAUUUCAUUAUUAUGUGUUGGUUUUACAGUUUUUAUUAUUAUGUUAAUCGUUUAGUUUUUAUUUUAUAACUUUAAUAUUUUUAUUUUUUACAUUAUUAUGUGUUUAAUGUCAUUUUUUAUUAAUAUGUUUUAUGUAUUUAUUUUUUUUAAUUUUAUUAAUACUAUUUUAAAUUGUUAUAAAUACAUUUACAUUUGUUGAUGUGUUUAUUGUUAUUAAUUUUUAUAAAUUUAUUUAUAUUUUCUUAUUAUAUUUUUUACUGUUUUUAUACUUUUAUUAUUCUGUAUUUGUUGUUUAGUUUUUCAUUCUAUGUUUUAUUGUUUUUAAUUUAUUUUUAUAUAUAUAUAUAUUAUGUUUUUAUAUCUUUUUCAUUUAGAAGAUAUUGUUUAAUUUUUUUUAUAUGUUUACUUUUUUAAUCUUAAUAAUUGUAUUUACAUUUGUUUUGUUAUACUUGUACUCUGUUGUUUAUUUUUUUAUGUAUUUAUUGUUUUUAAUUUUUAUAAAUAUAUUUAUACUUUUAUUAUAUUUAUAUUUAUACUUUUAAUAUUUAUAAAUUUAUUUGAAUUUAACACAAAAUUAUUAUUUUUUACAAAAUAAGAGUAAUUAUGAAUAUUAUAUAUUGAAAAAAAUAAUUAACUCAACUUAAAAAAAUAUAUCAGAACUCAUUAUUAAAAUAUUUUUUAUUGACAAGGAUAAAUUUGUAAAUUAUAUUUUAUAUUUUUAAAAUAAUUUCUAAAUUAUCUUCUAACUAUCACAUCACUCACAAAUUUUAAUAAACAAUCUUCACAAAUCCACUCUACCAUCCCUCAAUCUAAGCAAUCUCACACAUCUCCUCUAAUCCUCUCUAAUCUACUCUCUUCCCUCCCCACAAAUUCCCACCCCAAUCCAAACGGGGCCUAAAUGUAAAAAUAUCAUUUUUUUUCUUUUUUUUUUUCAAUUCUUCUACUAUCACCAACAUAAUACUAAAUGUAAAAAUAUCAUUUUUUUUUUUUAAUUCCAUACAUAAUCCGAAAGUUGUUUAUGGAUUCAGAAGUGUUUUUGAGAUUUAUAAAAUCCGAAACUCUUUUUUGCAUUUAAAAUAAGUCUAUGAAUUAUGUAAUCUGGAUAUAUUUUAGAAAUCAAUCUUAUAUUUAGAAAAAAAAUUUAGAUUAUGUAAUCCGGAAGCUAAUCACAUUUGAAAAAAAAUUCUUUCAGAUUAAUCUGGAAACUAAUGUUAUGUAUAGAAAAUACUUUAUGUAAUUCGAAAUUUAAUAAAAAAAAGCUUAUGGAUUAUGUAAUCCGAAAUAUUAAAAAAAAAUAUUUUUGAAAUAUAAAAAACGCACAAGAAGAUAUUAAAAAAAAAAUAUUUUUGAAAUAUAAAAAACGCACAAGAAGGUAUGGAGGAAGGAAUGGAGGUGCAGGAAGAAGCCGCCUAUGUUUUUUGUACCUCAUAUUAUUGGGUAUACUUCCAUCCUAGUACCUUUUAUCUUUUCAAAUGCAAAUUUCAAAAUGGGCUUGUAUUGUUGAAUUCCUCAUAUUAUUAUUGGGUGAAUUGAUAUGCUUCAGUUCUAAGCCAUUUGUGUGUGAAAUGCAAUUCAUCCUUAUCUUAGUUUCUCCAGGUUUAUGGAAAGUUAAACUUUUUAAUAUUGUUUUACUUUAUUGAUGAAUCCUAGUAGUUAACAUUUCAACCGUUUAAAAGAUUAUUUAAAAUUAUAAAUAUUUACAUAUUAUUAUUUAACUGGAAAAAUAGUAAUCCUCUAUAACCUCUUAUUUAUUUAAUAAAUGGUAUUAUUAGGAUGAAGGAAAAGAGAGACCGGAAAUUAAAACUUCUAAGGGUUUUGUUUAUCAUGGAAAUGAAGGAGAAAAAAAUUAUUUGGGUAUGUUACACGUGGAAAAUAAGUUUUGCAAGUGUAAAUUUUAUCAUUGAAAGUGCUGUUUAUUGCAAUGUGUGAAAUUAUUUUCUUAAUUAAAAAGUAAUAAAGAAUAUUUAUUGGUAAUUCUAUAUUCAAAUAAUUAAUACAAAUAUAUUUUAGUUUAUUUUGUAUCAAUCCCCGUAAUAUAAAAAAAUAACUUUUUUUUCCCAUUUUCAGCAUGAGUUUCUCUACUACAACAAGCUCAAUUAAAAAUAUAUACUUUAUGAUAAAAAGAAAAAGAAUUCGUCACAAAAUAAUAAAAAUUUAUUAUAAAAAAUUGUGAUAAAAUAUGAAACUGUCAUAAGAAAAUUUAUUAUUAUUAUUAGUGAUACUAAAGAUACAGUUCAAUUUUUUUUUUCAUCACAAAUUAUAGGUAUAGGCCCUCUCCUAGGUAUAGACUCUCUUUAGGUAUAGAUCAUUUAUCACAAGAGGAGACUAUAUAACUAUUGACACACCUAUCCAUAUUUUUAUGCUUUCAUUUGUCAUUUACAUAGCAACCACUUUCAUUAGAGUUGAAUCUCAAUAAUUAUUUAGACAUAAAUCAUCAGCUUCUAGUUAUCAAGUCUAGCAGUUGUCUUGAUGAUCAAGAGGUCCUAGACACUAUGAAACAUUGUGUCCAAGAUCAUUUUGUGUAUCAUAUUAACAUUGAGGAUAAUAAUUUUUCUUAUCUAACUGACUAUACAGAUAGAUAGACAAGCUUUUAUCGUCUAAUGAUGUAGAAUGCUAUAACAUGUUUCGUAGACGUCCUCUUACGCAGUUAGCAAUAGCUCCUAAGGUAAUACCUUACCUAUCAUUCCACCACCUACCACACAUAGACCGUAUAGCGUAGCUAGAAAGUCUAAAAAACUGUUCCACCAUCAUCAUACGCAAACUGAACCAUCUUCAUUGCCACCUAAGCUUAACAUUAAAUGCUCAGAUUUCAUCAACACCAACUCGUUUGCCCACCAUUGUCUACCCUGUAUAAGAUUCUCCCUUCCAACUAUUCCUCUUACACCACCACCCAUUCAUGGAACCCUUUUUAUCCUCAAUACAUUUGCACCCUGACCCCUAUCAAUCCCACCUUAUUGCACAAAGACUCCUCACAACAAAUGCUCUUCAUCUUCACCGUCUACACCAAGGCUUUGGCCAUAUUUUCCAGCAGACAUCUUCUUCGAGCCACAAUAUACAAAAAAACCUUGGCUUAUAUUGUAGAAGAGAUAGUUGGUGAGAUUAAUUGCAGUUCUUCCCUUUUCUCAAGCAUGACGAGGGAGUUCUUUUUAUCCUAUUUUUAUCAUACAUGUUUAUUUGAUUGCCUUUGCAUUAAGGACACUGUAGGAUUUAAGUGUGGGGGAGGAGAACACUAAUUUAUGACUUAUCUUUUUUUGAUUUGUUUGGUUUGAUUCCGUUAAAAAAAUAGUUUUAUGAUCGUCUAAUGGUUGAUAUGUUUCAUAAUUCCUAUAAAUUUUAGCUUCUUGAUUUGUGUUAUUUGGAGUUUUUAAAAAAUUGAUAAAUAAGUUGGUUAUGUAAAUUAUGGGUUGAAUCUUUUGUGAUAAAACUUCCCCCGGUAAGAUUUUGAGCUUUAUUGAUAGAUCAUCUGAUAGUUUGUCUGAUAAGAUAAAUGUCUAAUGCUUUCUAUACCGGGAUGACCGAUCGGUCUAUUGACCCGGUCAACCCAUGCGUCAAAACCAUACUUUAAGGUACGAGGUCGACCACGUGUUAUACGUGGUCGACCGACAUAAGGUGCUCUAGUCAAACCGUUGACCCAAUUAGCAAAGGUCAACCCACGGUUAGGGAACGACCUAAUCCAACCCUAAUCGCUAAACAACCCCCUAAUCCGGCCCAACAGUGAGGGCCCAUCAAGGUAAUAUAAAUAUCACGCAUUCCAAGGAGGAAGGUACGUCAUUAUCUACAGUAUUCUAACCAGCCGAAUACGAUACCCCACUGACUUGAGCGUUGGAGUGCCAUCUGCAGGUACCCCACCCGCUUGAGGAGUCAUUCAGCGUGAAGGACCGAAGGAGGAAGUGAAGCACGACCGACCGAGUGACAUCCGAAGACAAUAGUUCUCCCAGUCCCCAACCUAGUUCGAGAACAAUUGGCGCCCACCGUGGGGCAGAGGAGAGCCAGCAGAGACCACAACAGUAGAUGGUAUCAACCCGCAGCAUGACCGAAGCAGAUCAAACAGCAAUGAUGAUGGCCCUUCAGAGGGAACUAGCAGAGAUGAGGAAGGCGCACGAGGAAGCCGCUAAGAAGAACGAGGAGGAAAUCAAAAGCCUCCAAGAAGAGAACAAGCGGAUGAAAAAACUGGUCGAAGGGGUGCCGUCCCUCGCCAUGACCAAUCAGGCCAGCAGGUCUCACGCCACCGGGGCCGGCCUCCAGGCCGAGAAAGACACUAAAAACGACUUCACUCUAGAAAUGGAUGGAGAAUCCCAUCCCAGCAAGACAAUCAACACUACCACUCCGGCGGGUCCGGACCGGCGCCAUCCCUUCACCGACCGUGUCAUGGAAACCCCCCUGCCGGAAAAAUGGAAAGGCUUCAACAGGGAUCGAUACGAUGGGACGACCGACCCAGAUGAGCACGUGGACGCAUACACGACCCACAUGAGUCUGUACACCACAGACGACGUAGUGUUUUGCCGAGUCUUCCCAACCUCUUUAAAGGGCAGCGCUCUGAGCUGAUUCACCAAGCUCCCGGCACACUCUAUAGAUUGUUUCGAAACCCUGAUAGCGAAGUUUGACGUCCAGUUCGCAACAAGCCGCCACCACCAUCUAACAUCCAUAACCCUGGUCGGCAUUCGUCAAGAGAAGGGGGAGUCCCUCAGAACGUUCAUUGACCGGUUCAGCAAGACCGCUAUGAGCAUUCGCAACCUCAGUCCUGAGGUGGCAAUGCAUCACAUGCUGACCGCCCUCAGACCAGGCCCAUUUGCCGAUAGUCUGUGCAUGCAGCCGGCUACCAACCUCGACGAUCUUAGACGUUGAGCGGCAAAAUUCAUGCAGCUGGAGGAACUUCGUGAAUUCAGAAACAACGCCCGAGCCGAGGCAAGCGGGGAAAAGAAGGAGGAUAGAGAGCGGCAAGGAAGGUCCCGAACCGGUCGGGACCAGAAAAGGGACAAUCGUGGCCCCUGCUUCUCCCGCUACACACCUCUGAGCGCCGAGCUGAUACCACCGCCCCGAAGGGCCUUGAGCCCAGAAAAUACCGACCGCAGCAAAAGAUGUCGGUAUCAUAAGAAUACCGGCCACUCUACCGAAGAGUGCCAAGCCCUGAAAGACAAAAUCGAAGAACUCAUUCAAGCCGGGCACCUUAGACGCUUUGUGCGUGGGACCCGGGAAAUGCGCCGCUCCCCAUGCAAGGAGCAAACGCCUAGAAGAAGAGACCGAACCCCCCCCCCCAAGCCCACGAGAAGGUGACAGGCGGGGAGACCGACGGGGACGAAGAGACGACCCCCCGCAAACCGACACUCGCAGAGGCCGAGAGGUGAUUAACACCAUAGCCGGAGGGUUCGGUGGCGGAGGCAGUACCAGGUAAACCUCGUCUCCGCCCGGCCAAGGAUGCCACCAAUCACGUUCACAGACGAAGAUUUGAAGGGGAUAGACCCAACCCAGGACGACCCCAUGGUGAUAUCGGUCGACAUCGAUAAAUUUACGAUCAAAAAGACCCUUGUGGAUCAAGGGAGCUCGAUCGACAUAUUAUACUGGAAGACCUUCAAAGCUAUGAGAAUACCGGAGGAGGAAAUGAUGCCCUACAACGACCACGUGGUCGGCUUCUCGGGGGAACGCGUAGGAACGAGGGGCUACAUAGAGUUGUACACAACGUUCGACAUGGAAGGGGCCAGCAAAACCCUCAAGAUCAGAUAUCUGGUUAUAAACGCCAACACGUCCUACAACAUCCUCCUUGGAAGGUCGUCCCUCAACAAGCUGGGAGCGAUCGUCUCCACGCCCCACCUAGCAAUGAAAUUCCCUUCUCUCUCAGGCAACAUCCUGACCAUCCACGUAGAUCAAAAGGUCGACCGAGAGUGCUACGCCGAAAGCCUACGAGUCGAGCCUACACAACAGAGGCCCAGCGGCAGCCGUUCACCCAAGCGCAAGAUCGCCGGCCGGGGGAGAAGUCCCCGCCGGCACUCACCCCAACCAAAGAAGGGCAUCACCAUGGCAGACCUGGACCCCAGGGAAAUCGAGCCAAGACUCGAAGCCAAGGACGAGCUACGCCAAGCCGAACUUGACGGGGAGAACCGGUAUACGAGCAUAGGCACGACAAUGGCCACCGCCGAUGCGGACUUCGUUCACCAAACUCUCAAGAGGAACAUAGACCUCUUUGCCUGGACGACUGCCGACGUACCGGGCGUCCAUCCGGACAUCAUCACCCAUCGCCUUUCGGUGUAUAAAGAAGUCCGCCCGGUAGCACAAAAGAAAAGAAACCGUGGGGAGGAAAAGCGACUGGCCGCACGAAGUGAGGCCGAGAAGCUCCUAAAAGCCGGCUUUAUAGCCGAGGCACGAUACUCCACUUGGCUGGCCAACGUCGUGAUGGUCAAAAAGUCAAGCGGCAAAUGGCGGAUGUGCGUAGAUUAUAAAGAUCUCAACAAGGCAUGCCCCAAGGACUCAUAUCCCCUUCCUAACAUUGAUCGGCUCGUAGACGGAGCGACCGGUCACAAAAUAUUGAGUUUCUUAGACGCCUACUCCGGUUACAACCAGAUCAGCAUGCAUCAUAGCGAUAGAGGUAAAACGGCUUUCACGACGGACGUCGCAAACUACUUUUACAAGGUAAUGUCGUUCGGCCUAAAGAACGCCGGGGCUACCUACUAGAGGCUCAUGGACAAGAUUUUCAAAGGGAUGAUCGGCAGAAGCGUAGAGGUGUACGUGGACGACAUUGUGGUGAAGUCCGACUCGUGCGGCCAGCACAUCAAAGACCUACAAGAAGUUUUCGACGCCCUUAGAAGGGUCAACAUGCGCCUUAACCCCGAGAAGUGUGCGUUCGGCGUUGAAGGUGGCAAGUUCCUCGGCUUUAUGCUGACCCACAGAGGGAUCGAGGCGAACCCCGACAAGUGCAAGGCCAUAACAAAAAUGAGAAGCCCGAAAAACUUGAAAGAAAUUCAACAGCUGCUCGGCCGGCUGACAGCACUUUCCAGAUUCAUACCCCGCCUCGCUGAACGGAUCAGGCCGAUAGCCACCAUGCUUCGCAAAACCUCGAAGUUCAGUUGGAACGAGGAGUGCGAACAAAUCUUCGGCCAGCUCAAAGAAUUCCUGUCUUCCCCGGUCGUCAUCAAAAAGCCCCGUCUAGACCUACCUAUAGUGGUCUACCUAGCGGUGUUAGAGGAAGCGGUCAGCGCCGCCCUCGUCCAAGAAGUGGACCGCGAAGAGCACCCGGUGUACUUUGUCAGCCGGACGCUCCAUGCAGCCGAGACCAGGUACCAAAUGAUAGAGAAAGUGGCACUAGCCUUGGUGCUGACAGCGAGGAGAAUGCACCCGUACUUCCAGAACCACGAAAUCAGGGUAAGGACCAAUUAUCCUAUAUACAAAAUUUUAUCUAAACCCGACCUUGCAGGACGGAUGAUAGGGUGGUCGGUCGAACUUUCAGAGUUCGACAUCAAGUACGAACCAAGGGGUGCCAUUAAAUCCCAAUGCUUGGCAGAUUUCGCAGCCGAGCUCCCCAGAAACACAGAAACCUCGGCCAGGUGGGUCCUCUACGUGGACGGCUCGUCCAACAAAACGGUUUGUGGAGCCGGGGUCGUCCUCGAGGGGCCUGGGGACGUACUGAUCGAACAAGCCCUCCAGUUCUCUUUCAAAGUAACGAACAACCAGGCGGAAUACGAGGCCAUACUGGCCGGCCUCAACCUAGCAAAUGACCUGGGCGCGUGGGAGGUCGCAUGCAAGAACGAUUCCCAACUGGUCAAGGUCAAAUCAAAGGAGAAUUCGAGGUCAAGGAGCCCCUCCUCCAACGAUAUUACCACACCUUCCGUAACGUCAUGGCCAAAUUCGACACGGUGGCGGUCCAGCACAUACCACGGGAGGAAAACGAGUGUGCCGAUGCACUCUCACGCCUGGCAUCUUCGAAAAAACAAAGCCACCACAGAUCGGUCGUCCAGGUGCGACUAGCACAGCCGAGCGUAGGUGACGCCGAAUGCAUGACAAUCACCGAGACCCACACAUGGAUGACCCCGAUCACCCAGUACUUGGAGCACGGAACAUGCCAACUGGGGGAAGAGAAGAACAUCAGACGGUAGUGCGCCCGGUACACCAUGAUCGGCCAGGACCUGUAUCGAAGGGGGUACUCAACGCCACUCCUAAAGUGCCUCACCAAGGAACAAUCCCAAUACGUGCUACAAGAAAUCCACGAAGGGGCGUGCGGGAGCCACUCCGGAGCACGAACGAUGGCGGCCAAGAUAGUCCGCGCAGGAUACUACUGGCCGACCGUCCAUGGAGAUAGCGCUGAUUACGUUAAGAAAUGCCAAAAAUGCCAAGAGUUUGGCCCCCUCCACCACCGAAAACUAGAAGAACUGCACAGCAUGACAUCACCCUGGCCGUUCGCCAUUUGGGGGAUGGACAUCAUCGGCCCGUUCUCACCAGGCAAAGGCAAAACGAAACACCUGCUUGUCGUGGUAGACUACUUCACCAAAUGGAUCGAGGCCGAACCACUAGCCACAAUCACCGCCCGAAACGUCCAAAAUUUCGUGUGAAAAAACAUAGUGUGCCGAUUCGGCAUACCACACUCGACAGUCUCCGAUAACGGCCGACAAUUCAUCGACCAAGGCCUUCUGACUUUCUAGAACGACUUCGGUAUCAAAUCCCUCACAAGCUCCGUUGAGCACCCACAGACGAACGGACAAGCCGAAGCGGCCAACAAGGUUUUAUUGAACGAACUAAGGAAGAGGCUCGACACUGCCAAGGGAAGAUGGACGGAGGAGCUGCCCGAGGUCUUGUGGGCAUACCGCUGCACUCCGCAAUCCACCACACAAGAAACCCCCUAUAGCCUCACGUACGGCACCGAGGCCAUGAUACCAGUAGAGGUCGGGGAACCAUCCAUCCGACGCCAACUCUUCGACGUAUCCCUCAACAAGGAAAGUCUGGCGGUCAGCCUCGACCUCUUGAACGAGCUCCGGGAUAAAAGCAAGAUACGCGAAGCGGCAUGCAAGCUCCGAGCGGCAAGGAGAUACAACUCAAAGGUCCAGCCUAGAAGCUUUCAACAAGGCGACCUCGUCUGGAGAAUGCGCAGCAACGCUAGGAAGUCGGACGGCAAGUUCUCAUCAAAUUGGGAAGGACCAUUCUGAAUCCGAGAAGUAGGAAAAGGGGGAGCUUAUCACUUGGAACAUCUAUCGGGAAAAAUUGUACCUAGGACGUGGAAUGCCACGCACCUAAAAUUUUAUUUCAGCUAAACAUGAAUAAAAUAUACGCACUCUUUCCUCGACCGGCCGAUCCAUCGGUCGGAGAGGUUUUAACGAGGCGUUCCGUACAUAAGUGUGUAUAACAAAUGACAUGAACGGCUCGGCCAGGAUGUAGCCCUAACCGGCAUACCCUCCCGAAACCCACACGGUUCGGCCAGGAUGUAGUCUUAACCGGCAUACCCUCCCGAAACCCGUACCCAUCUCAGUCAGGCUGUAGCCCUAACCGGCAUACCCUUCCGAAACCUACACGAUUCGGCCAGGAUGUAGCCCUAACCCGCAUACCCUCCCGUAACACACACGGUUUGGCCAGGAUGUAGCCUCAACCGGCAUACCCUCCCGAACCCGUACACAUUUCGGCCAGGAUGCAGCCUUAACCAGCAUACCCUCCGGGCACACACCUAACGUUCGGCAAGAACCAAAACUCGCCUAAACAGCAAAACUCGUCUAAAUCGAAUUCGCCAAAGAAUGACCGACUGAUCGAAGUCCGUUACAUUCACUUGAUUGAUUUUAAUUAGAACAAGUCACUCACUUGAUUUCAUCUACCCACCGGUCACUUAGUCCUUUUUAUUUAGUUAACUUUACCGCAAUUUAAGGUUAAUUAUUCCAGCCCACUCGACUCGCAAAGGCUCGUUCGUCCAGAAAAUGCAGAAACAAUUGAAAGAAAAAACUUAUAUUAAUUGAAAAUAAGUGGGGGCCACCCCGGCCCCAGGGGUCCAAAAUUAAAAGCUGACCGCCUAGUCUACAAUAUUCAAAACCUCAUUAGAGGGAUCAGCUUCAACUUCUUCACCAGGAGGGCCGGCCGCUGCAGGGACCAAACGACCAUCCACAACUUCCAUGUCUUGGUCAAAUGGACCAGAAGGAGGUGGACCGCCGUAGAGCACCUCGGCCUGUCGAACGGCAAGAUCGAAGCUCUGACCAAUAAGCACCAUGGUGUCCUCCAUGGUCUUCAAAACUUCAGCCUCCGCCGCCCUCUUGGCCUCGCGCUCGGCCGCAGCUUCCUCUUCCAUCAAGGUAGCCCGACGGUCGGCCGCCUCCAAUGCCUUGCGAAGGAGAAUAACCUCCGCGACUUUGUUGGCGUCGGCCUUCUCCAGCUCGGCCGCUUGCGCACACAACUUCUUUUCAUAAGUCGUGUUGGCCUCCACAGCCUACUUUAGGUUGUGCCCGGCCUCCUGGAGAACGUGCUCGAGGCGCGAUAUGUCCUCGACCCGGCUUCUCCGAGCGUCGGCCCCCCGACGGGCCAAAAAUAGACCCCGACAAAUCAUCUCGAUGCUGCCGUCAAGAAGGUCGUCAUCGGGGACCGACCGGAUCUCCCACUCGAUGUUGGAGGGCAGCUUGAAGCUCACAGCCCGUGAGAAUGACGGGUCGUCUCCGACCAACGCAAGCGUUGAUCCGCCCGAAGAGGCCAAGGGCACCGCCACCCCCGUAGGAAUAGGACGGUUGAACUCGUCAGUAGGGGGAAGUUAGCCUAGCUGACCGCGCUAGAGGAGGAGUUGGCAUCUGCCCCGCCGCCCGAACGGUUCGGGCGAUAUUGCCGCCCUCGCGGCCACGUUUCUUGGAAGGGCCCGCCCGAGCACCCUCUUCCGCCCGGGGCUUGGCACUGGUGGCCCCCCUCUUCUCGUUCAGCUUGUUCUUGAACGAGUGCAACAUCCCAACAGCUUGGGGGAUUUCUCUCUUCGCGAUUUCUACAAACCAAACAAGAAAUGGUCGGUCAGAGCAAAGCGCAAAAUGUAAUAAACUAAGUGCAUGAAAAGAGCAUACCCUCGAAAGCCUCCGCGCGAUCGAUCGCAUUGUACAACGACAUGAGCGGUCGGGCGGGGAGCUUCCUGGGGAGACUAUCAAAUAAAGCAAAAACGAGCCGCUCAUGCUCGCUCGGAUGUGCCGGCCUCGGCCAAUCCGUUAUCUUCGUCGGACUCCUCGACCAAAAAAGAGGGAAACGAGACUGGCCGACUUCCUCAAAAAAAUAACGUGUUCCGGCCGGCUCCACGUACACUUUAAAGAACUUCUCUUUGAAGUUCUUAUAAGAGGCUGUGAAGGGCUUGAACAACACGCUACCCGCCCGGCUGACCAGCGAUUGCCAACUGGCAAGCUUGGCCGGGUACGACGAAUAGAAGUGAAGAAAACAGGAGGGAAGAGGGCGCAACCCAAACGUCCGGCAAACAAUGUGGAACGCUUGCAUAGACGCCCACGAAUUGGGAUGAAGCUGAGUCGGAGCCACGUUGAGCUCCUUCAAAACCCCGGCCGUAAAGGCAUCAAAGGGGAGAGACACAUGCAGGUCCGCAAAAAGACAACCAUACAUGAAGAAAAAGGGAGGCUCGGUAGAUGAUCGCUCCCUGUACACACGAUCCUCCAAAGAACAAGGACCGAACGCCAACAAGGAUUCCUCAGCCGAAGCCUUCAAGACAGAAACCCCGUCCAGAAACUCAGCAACGGAGACAUCGGUGUAAAAGGCAGACGACACCUCACACAACCGGGGAUCAACCCAGGCCGGCCCCUCGAAGGGGGCCGAUUGGUCCGACGCGUUACCAACGUCUUCUCUCACCAAUGUCGGGGAAUGGACACAAUCCACGUCCCCGACCGGGGAAGCCUGACCGGACGAAGAAGAAGAAGAAGAAGAAGAAGACGAAGAAGAAGAAGACGAAGAAGACGAAGAAAACGACGAGCAAGCAGGGGGGGACUCGGAAAGAGCAGACAUAACUAACCUUGAGACGGACGAAGAAGGCAACAGAGAUCGGUCGGAUUGAUUCGAGGUGUCGGAGCUCAAACAAAGAUAACGCGUGGAACUCUACUAUUCCCAGCCCCUAUUUAUAGCCCGAGAGGACCUCGGAAUCCCAAACGUCGCAAGAACCUCAACCAUUGGAUUCGUUUGAUCCAACGGUUCGCAUCGCUUCGCACCCAGAAAAACCCCUCAUUAAUGCGCGUCACGUCAAUCGCUCAGGCGCCCCCAAACAUCACUUCAUUCAUCAUUACACAGUCCGCCCGAGACCCACUCUUCAGACUCUUCAGACUCUUCGGCUGUACCACCUCUCGAGCCUGGGAGGCAACUGUACCGGGAUGACCGACCGGUUUAUUGACCCGGUCAACCCAUGCGUCAAGACCAUACUUUAAGGUACGAGGUCGACCACGUGUCAUACGUGGCCGACCGACAUAAGGUGCUCUAGUCAAACCGUUGACCCAAUUAGCAAAGGUCAACCCACGGUUAGGGAACGACUUAAUCCAACCCUAAUCGCUAAACAACCCCCUAAUCCGGCCCAACAGCGAGGGCCCAUCAAGGUAAUAUAAAUAUCACGCAUUCCAAGGAUUAAGGUACGUCAUUAUCUACAGUAUUCUAACCAGCCGAAUACGAUACCCCACUUACUUGAGCGUUGGAGUGCCAUUUGCAGGUACCCCACUCGCUUGAGGAGUCAUUCAGCGUGAAGGACCGAAGGAGGAAGUGAAGCACGACCGACCGAGUGACAUCCAAAGACAAUAGUUCUCCCAAUCCCCAACCUAGUUCGAGAACACUUUCUUUAUUGUAUUUUCACUCAUGUUUGCUUAUACUUCAGAACUUAGUUUGAUUCUUUGUUUUGCAAUUGUGUUUUACGUACAUAAAUUGAUAUGAUUGAGACAUUCUUUGUUAACCCUCAUGAUAAUCCACUUGUUACCCUUUUGAUCCUCAUUAGUAGAAAAUACGCAAUUUACUACUCCCUAUAAAGUGUUCUUAAAGAAUAGCCGUAAUAAGAGAGGCGAUGACAAUUUUCAUAAUUUUUUUCAAAUUUCAGUGUUUUUAACAACGGUUCAGGCAAGAACUGUCGUUAAUUGUGGAAUAGUGUGGAAAUAAAGACGGUUUUGUACAGAAUCAUCGUUGAUUAGUUGUUCAAGAAAAAAAAAAAAUAAAGCCCGCGUGCACACCUUUCUCUUUCCCUCACUCAUUUUCACUCUCUCAUUUUCGCACAACAUUCUCUCCUCACUCAUUUGCACUCACACUCCUCACCCACAGUCACCCUUAGCUGCGACACCUCCUCCCACCGCGCUGCCACGAGCAGUCUCCGCUCCUCCAGACCACAGCUUCUGCUGCGAUCACGAGCUCUGUCGCAGGUCCCACCGCGACCACGAGCUCCGUUCCAGCUCCCGCAACGACCCUUCCUUGCUCCGUUAGUCUCCUCCGCCACACCAGCCACCAUGGCCAAUACGAAGCAGAUUCGUUCAACUUCCACAUUCGCCACCAGCCUCCUUCGCGUGCCGCACCAACCAACUUCUUCCACCACACCAGCCACCGUGCUUCUAAAAUAGAAAAUUCAUGUUUGUUCAUACCUUAGAAGAUAAAAUAGAUUUGAAAUUAUUUUGGGAAUAGGUUCUUGAAUAUGUGUGCGGGGUGUACUUCAUUUUUCUUACCUUAGCUCCUCAUAUAUCAACUCAUUACUAAAGAAUAAUAGAAAAAGAAAGAAAUAAAAUAACAAAAAUAAAAGAAAAUAACAAAAGCGUAGACUGUCUUCUCCAUGAAAAAACAAUAAAAGAAUAUGUCUUGAAAUAAAAAAGAGAAGUUGAAUUGUAAAAUUGCUUACACUUAUUUUUUGGAUUUAUUUUCUUUGUUUUUCUAUGGUUUUAAGUCUCUUUUUCCCAUUUUACCUACCUUUAUCUUGAUCCCAUUACAUCCCUUAUGAACUCAUUUUGAUAUCUCAUUGCAUGUUUUUCAAUUGUUGUAAAUAGUGGAGUCAUGCUAAUAUGGUAGUGUUUGCUUAGUGUAAAUACCAACCUAAACACUUGAGAGUUGGAGAGUGUCUAGUGAAAGUUUUGUCAUUUUUUAUUCACUCUUUGAUUUUAGUUACCUGUUUGUGUUAAAAUAUAGGAAUUUCCAUUCAUAUUUUUCUUGAUUCUUUGAAUUCUUGAAAUUAUAUCAUAAUUGUUAUUAUGCGUUCUUAGAAUAUGUUGUAAUUUUCUUUUUUUUUGUUUGCACUUAUUACGAAGUGGACUUUAAGUCUAACUCAACCCCAUAAAAUCGUCUCAUGAGGUUGAGGUUUGCACCCACUUAUAUACAAUGAAAGACUCUAAUCUCUAGUCGAUGUGGGAUCUCCAACACCCCCCCCCUCACGUCGAGACUGCCAACUCGUGCGUGAGACUAUAUAUUAUGGGUGGUCCGAUAGCGGCUCGAUAGCGGGUGGCUGGAUAAGUCCAACAAAUACUCGCUAGGAUAGGCUCAAAAUGGUUUUGAUACCAUAUUACGAAGUGGACUUUAAACUUAAUUCAACCCAAUAAAACUGGCUCAUGAGGUUGAGGUUUGCACCUACUUAUAUACAAUGAAAGACUCUAAUCUCUAGUCGAUGUGGGAUCUCCAACAACACUGUAUUCCUUUGAUCGAUUGUUAGUCUAUAGAGUGUUUUGUCCAAGAGUGCAAAAGGACAAGUGUGAGGGUAUUUGAUGAGCAUAAUUUUACUCACUUGUAACAUUUAAUCAUAUUUUUCUUUGAUUAAAAUCAUGAGUAUUAGGGUUUGAGAGUGUGAGUUUCAAAGAGAGGGGAAAGCGGAGUGAAAGAGAAAAAUGAAAACUUUAAAAAGCAUUAUUAUGUGACAUGUUUUCAUUGGUCCACGUGUUGUGUGUUGAUUGGUGCACAUUUUGCUAAUUUGGAUAUUAAACAUUUGAAUUUUUUUGAAAAAAAAAACUUGUAUUAUUUAUAGAUAUAGAUUUUUAUCUAUAAUUCUAUUUGGUCUGAAAAGUCAUCAAAUCUUAAUUUUUUAUAUGAUUCAAAUGAGAUUUGUUUGAGUACAUAAGAUAAAUAAUGAAUGCUUGGAGAAGAGAGUGAUAUAUAGGUGGAAUGUUUGACUCUGCUAUGAAAUUUGUACUUUAAUCUUGUAUUUAUUUAAAUAUUAUAUAGUAUAAAUAUAUUCAUUGUCUAAAAAAUAAAUAUUUAUUUUAUGAGUUUUUUUCUUAUCUACAAAUAUAUUAAAAAUAAAAUGUUCGGUGCAAUACAUUUAUUGGAGCGAGAGAAAACUUUCUAAAAACCCUGUUACAAAUUAUAUGAAGUUUUGGUAUUUUUAAUUUAUCUCAUAACGCAAGGUUAAUUUUUUAAGUUGUUUUCACUAAAUAAUUGUUUUUAAAACCAUUUUAGUAUAAUUAAACGAAUGCAUAAAAUAAGUACGACGUACUUACAGAGAAUAUGUUAUUUUAGUACAAAUGUAUUAAAAAUUAUACAUACCUAUGAGAGAGAGCUUUUUUUUUUCUUAUCAGCAAAUAUUAUAAUUCACUUUAGGAUAAUAAUAAUGAUACAAGACGUUUAUUAUUUCAUAAAUUUAUUUUUAUUUAAACUUGUAUCAUUAUUGAUGUUCAUAGAAAGGCAAACAUGAUGCAUCCAUAAUUACCGAAUCUGGAAAUGAUUAAGUGCAGGCAGGAAGAGGAGAACCACACAAGCACUUGUUGUUGGCAUAAGCAGAAACGUCAAAUCUUUGCAAGUUCCCACCUUGAGGAAUCUCACCGCACAGAUUGUUGAAGCUCACAUUUAAACUGUGCAGAAACUUUAGCUGCGUCAGUCCCUGCGGUAGCGUCCCAUAGAUACGGUUGUUCCUCAGAUCCAACCCGUUCAAGUUCUUUGACAACCCCACUUUCCCCAAAUCAAAGGCAAGAGAGUUCUUCGCCAGAUGUAUCUUCUGCGUGUUCUUAUCUGAUCCGAACAACACCGACGCGUCACCCUCCAGCAUGUUUCGAGACAAGUCAACGAACGCCAGGUUCAGAUUCGCAAACGUCGGCGGAAUCUUCCCGGUGAGGCGGUUGCGGGAGAUGGUCAUCGACGUGAACAGCUUCGAAAAUGAGCCGUAGGAGUCGGGGAUGGCGCCGGAGAUUCGGUUGCCGUCGAAUGUGAUUCCGACGAGGUUGGGGAGAGAAGAGAUGGAGGGAGGUAGGGUGCCGGAGAGGGCGUUGUAGGAGAAGUCGAGGGUGACGAGGGUUUUGAUCUGUGACAAGAAAUCGGGUAUUGCGCCGGAGACAUUGGUGUGGGUGAUAUAGAGAUAGUGGAGUUGGGUGAGUUUAGCGAUGGCGGGGGGGAUUGGACCGACGAGGUUAUUGAUGCCACCAAUGUAUAGAAAAUUGAGGUAGGGGAGGUUGGCGAGGGAGGAAGGGAUAGGGUAGGGUUUUGGGAGGUUAAGGCCGGAGAGGUCGAGGUUGUUGACGCGAUAUGUUUGGGUGUCGGUGUCGCAUAAAACACCUAGCCAGGUUCUGUUGCAACAGUCGGUGGUUGGAAGCCAUGAGGAGAGAGUGGUUGGGUUGCCAAGGUCUUUCUUGAUUUGGAGAAGGGCUUGCUUGUCUUGUGGGUUGCAUAGCUCUGAGUGUGCAGUGCUCAAAGAUACAAGAAUGACCAAAAUUAUGCUUAAGCUUGAGGACAUGGUUGCUGGGAUAUUGAAUUGAGUGAUAAAAAUGGAUGAUAAUGUGAGAUGUUAUAUCCUUCAAGCUGCUAUAUUUGACUUAUAGGAGUCAAUAAAGCCAGUGCAAGUGUUCAGGAAGGUCACGCUCACGCAUGUACGCACCAUUGGAUUGAGGUUUUUUUCUUUAAAUUGAUAGGUUGAAAACUCCUUGUAUACAAAAUCUAUUUGUAUACAAAAGCUUUUUAUACCGAUGGAUUUAAAAAUAAAUAUAUAUAAUAAAAUGUGAAUUUUAAUUAAAUAAUAUAAAAAAUAUUAAAAUAAUUGGAAGUUGGGGGUGGUUAUAUGAUUUUAUAAAUUUUUUUAUUUAUCCAAUUACUUUUUUUUCCUAAUAUAACAAUUUUCGUCACCCUAAACAAGGAAGGACCAAUCUUGAUAUAUAAAGUGUCGGCAUAAUUAACCAAAUAGAAAGUACAUAUUUAUUUUUCAAAAUCCUUUUUAAUAAAUUAAUAAAAGCAAACAAUUAUUUUUAAAAUUAAGUUAAUGUUAACUAAGUUUAACUCUUAUGUUUCUAACUUAGACAUAUUUUGUAGUUAAUUCGAAGAAGUAAAGUGAAAUUAAUAGCGUUUGAAAAUAUAAUGAAUUCAAAACAUAAUAUAGAUGAAAACUAAGAAAUAGAAAUAUUUAUGUAUAUUCAAUGUAUUUAAUUAAUAUUCAUUUCAUCUUGUUAAUUUUAAUUCUAAAUGUCAACAGAUUGACUUAUUGAAUGCGUCAUUGUGAGCGUCAAUGAUAACAUCUCCAAUGUUAGGUCUGAGAUGACACAAUAAGUAAUGAUAGAAACUGAAAUGAAUGCAGCGUGCAUCAGGCAAGGUGAAAUUUGGUUGAAAUGCCGUUUAGGUGUAAAUACCAACGUAAACGAGUUGGGGAGAGAGUUUGUCAUUUUUUAUUUCCUCUUUGAUUUUACUUACUUGUGUUAAAAUAUAGAAAUUUCGACUCACAAUUUUUUUAUUCUUUUGAUUUUUUGAAAUUAUAUCAUAAUUUUUAUUAAGCGUUCUUAGUAUCAGCUGUAAUUUUAUUUUUCUGUCGUUUGCAUUGUAUUUUUUAUCCAUGGUUAGUUUAUAAAGUGUUUUGUCCAAGAGUGCAAAAUGAUAAGUGUGAGAAUAUUUGAUGAGCAUAAUUUUACUCUCUCUUGUAACAUUUAAUCAUAUUUGUCUUGGAUUAAAAUCAUGUAUAAAUUCAUUGUUUUAAAUAGGAUUCAUGUAACUAGAUUUAUUUGGAUUUUAACUAUUAUUUAUCCCACUCAUGUGUUUUAGUUAGAGUAAACAUUUUGGUAGACGAUUUGAAGGAAAUGUUUGCCGCUAGGAGUGGGUCUAAUCAAGCGAAAGUUCAAGUUGUUUAUCUAAAUCAAAACAAGAAAUGAAAUUUGAGUAGAAGAAUUAGAGAAUAAAAUCUAUAAUAUUUUAAAAACAAAUUUGGAAGCAACUCUUCUGCAAAAAUAUGAAGAAACUGAGUUUGAGAUAAAAUUGGAAACAAAAUCCAAGAAUUCUGAUGAGUUGAAAAUUGAGAAACUUUUAACAAUAUAUGAACCGAAAAAUUAUUUCAAUAUCCUUGGAGAUACCUAUAAAAAGAUGCAAGCUUCAAUGAGAUAUCAUCCGUUUGAGAAACAAAGCAUUAGUGUUUUAUUAGUUUUUUAUUUUCUUAUUUGUAAUCUUUUCGUUUCACCUCCGCAUGGAAGAUUAAACUCCUUUGGAUUGAUUCUUUUGUGAUUUGCAAAAAAAUCUAAGGUUUUUUUUAAUAAAGUUUUAUUCUUAAAUUCUCUGUAGCGAUUUGUGUUAAAAAAUAUGAUAUUUUUGAAUUUUGGUUUUGUUAAGAAAUUGUUUUAAAUGCUUCUUAAGAGUUCAAAUUUUUUUCUUUAAUUGAAUUUCUUGGUUAGUUUUCUAAAUUAUAAUCAAUCUCUUGUUUGCUUAAUUCAAGAGGUAGAAGAUAAACAUUUCACGAGUAAAUACUUGGAGACGAGUGAGAUACUGAACAACUUAGUAAACAUUUGUUCUAUUGAUAAGAUUAUAUUAAAUUUGAUUAACGCUUAUUUGAUUAAGUUCGACAUUUGUCUGAGAAUUGAAAGAACUAAAAUCUUAAGAUAAUCAAUAAUGAAUUCACAAAUGAAUGAUCUUGAGAGUUAACCUACCUUCUUUACUGUUUUAAAAUCAUAUAUUGAUUGACUUCAUAUAUAAUGAUCUCAACCUUCUUCUAUCUUUACUAUUAUUUCUAAGCUUUAUUGAUUGCAAAAUAAGUUUUGAAUAUUGAUUGACUGGAUUUACUAUUAGAUUCGUUGAGAGAUGAUUUGGGAUCAUCUGACCUCAUUCAUACUAUCAUCUCUUUAGUGUUAGACCAUCUAACACUAUGUAAGAUAGUCUACAUUAAAAUCAUUUUAUUUUUAUUAUGAAAAUGACAACAAUCAAAUAUACAAGAUAUUGUCGGAUUUAUUUAUUUAAAUCAAAUAUUGUGGUUGUUAGUAUAUUUUUGGAAAGAUAAAACAUUGGUGGAGACUCAAAGUAGUUACAAGUUGUAAAUAAUAAGAUCUAAGAGUGAAAAGAAAUACACAAAUGAUGUUUUUGAUAAAUUUUGGAAAGAAGUUGAAACCAAACAUUAACUUACGAUGAUUUUCAGUCUACAACAAAAUGGUGAGAGAAAAAAAAAAUAGAAGUAUCAUGAAAGGUGUAUGCUAUAUGAGAAAGAUUUGUGAAACAAGUUAUGGAGCAUUAUUGUACUUUUGUUGUUGAAUUGGUUGUCAAUCAGGUUCGAAAAAAAACUUCAUUUGAAGUUGGGUAUAGAUUAAAUUUACAAAAUUUGUUAUGUUUAUUUAUGUUAUGUUUCAAAGGUUAAAAGGGAAAAACUUGACAAGAAGAUUGAACCUAAAGUUUUAAUUGGACACGACAACACUUUCAAAGCUUAGAAAAAUUUUCAACCAUAAAAUGAAAAAUUCUAGUGAAAAAAAUGUAAAAUUCAUGAAAAAUUAACAAUGAAGUUGGGAGAAACCCAUAAGCAAGCAAUUUUCAAAAAACCCACAUAAUUUGAAUAAAGUAAGAAAGAUGACAAGUGGAUAAAUGCUCUAAAGGAAGAGCUAAAGAUGAUUGAAAAAAAAAAUAUCACAUGAAAACUAGUGCAGAUACCUUAUAAUAGAAGAAACUUAUAGGAGUUAAAUGAGUCAUAGAACAAACUUAAUUUACACAAUUCUAUAAAUAAAUACAAGGAUGCAAAAAGAUAUCCUGUGUAUUUUUAAAAAGUAUUUACUCCAUUAGGUUCGACAGAUUUUUUUUAUUUCUCAUUUCUCUAGUAAGGAUGAUCUUCUUUCUUUUAUUAAGAGUGACGGUAGUCCUUUGGUUAAAUUGAUUAAGCUUGUUCUGACAAUCUUUUCUAUAUGGAUGAUAUGGCAUAUGAGAAAUUAUGCUAGAUUUCAGGAUAAGAUUGAGGUUUCUAAGGCUAUUUUGAUAAUUAAAGAUUUAACUUGUCUAGUGGGAAAUUCGUCUAAAGCUUCAAUGAAGAAUGAUAUGUUGGAUUUCAACGUGAUUAAGUUUUUUGGUAUUAAGACUCAUAGUGGGAAAGUUUUUCGUCCUCUUCCUGUUAGAUGUAAAUUUUCUUCAUCAGGCAGGGUUAAAAUUAACACUGAUGAGGCUGCUAGGGGGUAUCCUGGUCUUCUUACUUGUGGAGGUAUUUUUCGUGGGAGUAUGGGAGAAUUUAUUGGUGCUUUUUCAACGUUUCUUGAAGUUCAGACUACUUUGGUUGUUGAGUUUUAUGGAAUUAUACAUGCUAUGAAGGAAGCUCAAAAGAUGAGACUUACUAAUGUUUGGCUUGAAUGUGAUUCUGCCUUGGUUUGUGCUGUGUUUACUAUUAGGACUAAUGUUCCGUGGAUGCUUCGUAAUCGAUGAAAUACUUGUCUUAAUUUCUGUGAGACAAUCAAGUUUAGGGUUACUCAUAUUUUUCGUGAGGGGAAUGCAUGUGCUUAUAAGUUGACUAAUUUAGGGUUCAUUCAUAGAGAAUCAUUUCAUUGGUAUAAUAGACUUUCAUCUAGUCUGUUCUCAAAAUUCUUUAUGAAUAGGUAUAGUCUACCUAUGUAUCGUUUUUGUUAACAUGUGGGUUUUGGUCUAGUCCCCCCAUAUUUUUGUAUUUUCUUUUUUUUUUCUUUUUUUUAAUAAUUUUUUUUCCCUGUAAUGGCAGAUGAUUGUUGUUACUUAAGGUGUCAGCCUAGCUGAGAUGUCAAGUUGCAUAGUGAUGCCUAACAUACAAACUUUUAUAUAAAAAAAAAGUUUUACUCCAAUUUAACGUUUUGAUAUAAUUACAAUGUUGAAUACCUUACUCUCAUAUGAAGGAUAUAAAAUUUAUCAUUUAUAUGUAAAAAAACUUGAGGAAGAAAUUUAUGUAGAGAUAUUUAAAGAGUUUCAAAAUGACAGGAGAGGGGAGGAUGUUUACUAGUUGAAAAGGAACUUAUAUAGUAUAAAAUAGACUCCAAGAACCUAGUAAAACAAGAUAAAAAAAAGGAUAAAUAGUUAUCAUUUAAAUCUUGGAUUUGUCAAAAAUCCAAGUAAAGACGUUGACAUAAUAUAUUAGAUUUCUAUGUUAUUUUUUAAAAUAAAAAUAAUCUUUACUGUACUAAUCAGAUAAAUUUAUUUUAACCAUAUUAGUUUAGUGAUCGAUACUUUUCCUUUUUUUUAAUCAUAUUAUAUUCAUACUUACAAUUCUCAAUCAAUAAUAAUAAUAAAAAAACAAUUUCGUCUAUAAUAUUUUUUUAAAUAUAUUUUUAUUAUAAAAACUUUCAUUUAGACAUUAUUAUGCAACCUGUCAAGUAAAAAUAUUUAAAAAAACAUAGUUUUACUCUUUUUAUAAUAUUUUUUUUCUAAGUUAAGAAAUACCAGUAAAAAAAUAUAACAAGUUUAUGAAAUUAACCUUAUUAUUAAUUUAUUCAUAAUUUUUUGUAGUCUUUCAUUAAUAUUAUUAAAAUAGGUUAUGAACAAAAAAGUAUAAUUAAUAUUUUAUUUAAAACUAGAAUCAUACUUAUUUUAAGAUGUUAUGUGGAGGACCAUGACUCAAUAGAUCAAUAAGCAAUGUAAAUAUGAUUGAAGAAAAUAUAAUAGAAGGAAAAAAGAAACUUCAAUAAUAGAUCAAAGUACAAAAGAAAAGAAUAAAGAAAUAUAUUAUAAGGGAGAUUCCCAAAGAAUGCUAGGAAGAUUAGAAAAAGUAAUAGAGAAAUUAGUUUUAUAAUUAUAUAAUAUUUCUUGAUUCUCUUAAAGUAUUUUACAAUAGACAUUUGAGAUGCUCACACAUAAAGAGUUUCACAUACAUAACUCAUAGUUUUAAGAAUGUCUCUAACGAAUUUGUUUUCUCUCUUCCUUAAAUCAAGAAACAACCCAUGUGCUUAAAGGCGUGAUUAAGAGUGUUAACCAUAUGAUUUAUAAGUAAACUUAGGAUUCUAAAACACAUGAUAACAGAGUCACUCUCUUUUCUAAAAUCACUUUUGAAAAUUGAAUAUGAAAUUUUUCUUGUAUGUUCAACUUUAAGAGUCUUAUAAGAGUUUUAUACUCUUAACUUCAUUUUUAUCUUGAAGAACUUCUAAACACUGAUGAACUUUUUGCACUUAUACGUUGAAAUUCAUGACAAAGAAAACAUGUUCUUAUGCAUUGGUGAGUCUCAAUUCAUUUUCUAUUUCAUUUUACAACUUAUUCUUAUUAUCCUUUCAUGUUUAUAACAUAUUGCAAGCUUUAACCAUGGAAACCAGUACUUCCGGCAUUGUUAUCUUGUUUUCGCAUGGUCUCACAUUCCUUAAAUUUUUCAAGAACUUUACAACCUUCUAAGAUUUCCAUUAUUAAUGCUACUAAAAUUAGUCAUAUGUAAUGAUGAUGAAAGAAGCAAUCUGUAAUUCCGAAAUGAUGAUGCAAUGGCUCUAAUUAGUACGGUACAAUAAUUAAUAUGGAAGUAAAGGAGUCAAGUUCACACUCAAGGAGCCAAUAACAAUGAAAUGACCAAUGAAAGGUGCUACAAGAAAGAAGAGUUAGCCAAUUCAUUUAUUCAAAACUUAUGACAUAAUAGUUGGCGCAAUUUAAUAGUAUUUGUUGGGUUCCUAUACCUAGAACAAAUUUAUUAUGGUUGGUUUGUAAUCUAAUGUUUGUUGGAUCCGGGUGAUAGGAAACUUGUUUUGGGUAUUUUUUUAUAAGGUUGAACAUCCCUAAAAUGUCUCAUUUUAUUUUAUUCAUUCUUUACUGAUAAAAAAAAAACAAAUAUUGUUUGAGAUAGAAAUGAAGUAACAUCGAGAAUGACUUCAAGUUUUUUCCAAAAUUCUAAUAUGUACUGUACUAAUCCUUACCCGAGCACAACACGAGGCAUAAUCAAUAUAAGCAAAAUAAUGAGGAAUAAAAAACACAUUAAAUCACUACAAGAAAAGUUUGAUUUAGCUUCCAAAUUUUUGCGUGGGCCAUUUGCGGACGCUACUCUCAUCGGCCAAAAUGAGUAAAAGUCCACGCAAGAUUUACAUUAGACGCAAAACGGACGCAUAUAUUGAUUUAAUUUUUUUUUUUAAUUUUUUUUUGCGUUGGCCGCGGCCACGCAUAGGCGUCGGUUUUGCGUCGACCGCGGCCCACGCAUAUGCGCCCGUUUUGCGUUGCCCACAGAACCCACGCAUAUGCGUCCGCUAUAGCCCACGCAUGUUUAGAAUUUUAAAAUUUAAAUAUUUUUAAUGUAUAAUAAAUAUUUUAAUAUUUAAUUCUUUAUUAUAUUUAUUUUAGAAUUAUUUCUUUACUGUUAUAAUAAAUUAUUUAAUUUAUCACUUUUAAAUAUAAAUUAAUUAAAUUAGAUUUAUUAAAUUAAAUAAGCGUUUGAUUUAAAAUUAAUUGAGUAAAAUAAAAUAUAUAUUUAAAUGUUAUAUAAAAUAUUUGUUUAUUUUAAAUAUUAUUUAUUUUAAAUUUAUUUUAUUUAUAUAUUGUCAUAACUAUUUUAUUUUUGAAAUUAUGAUAUAAAUUAGUUAAAUUAAAUUUAUUAAAUUGAUGAUAAUAAUAUUAAAUUUAUUAAAUAUUAUAUUAAUACUAAUAAUAUUAAUAAUAUGUAUAAUAAUAUUAAUAAUAUUAAUAAUAAUAUUAAUAAUAAUGUUACUUAUAAUGUUAAUAAUAAUGUUAAUAAUAAUGUUAAUUAUAAUGUUAAUUAUAAUAUUAAUUAUAAUUUUAAUUAUAAUAUUAAUUAUAAUGUUAAUAAUAAUAUUAAUAAUAAUGUUAAUAAUAAUAUUAAUAAUCUAUACCUAUAUAUAAAGGAGAUUCCCCUCUUAACUACCAUAUUAUUUUAUUUAAAUUUUAUUUUUAUCUUUAUAUCUUAUCUUAUUUGUUAUUUUGUGAAGAGUUUAAAUUUUAUAUCUCAAAGAGUUUAAAUUUAAAACUAAAUAUUUGUAAAGUGAGAUUUGUUCAGGAGCAUUGUCCAAUUGCAUCUUUUUCUUCUGUUCAUCUUCACUUUUAUCACAUCAAACUUUCUCCAUAUCAUUUUCACUUUUAUCCCAUCAAACUUUCUAUUUUCAUAUUCAAAUUACUAGAAGAAGUCGCACUUCCGUUCCAGAACCACGAAACCAUUCCGUAAGUAUGGUUUUCAAAUAUAAAGUAGAAGAUGAAAAUGCAAUGUCUGAUUUUACUUUUAUUUUUUAUUCAUUUAUGCAUGUCUUUGGCAUUGUAUGAUGACAAUAUUGUAAUUAUUGUGCUCACACAAAACACAAACAAAUAGAACUAUUAAAGAAAAACAAACAAAUAAAAAUCGUAGGAUUUUGUUCAUUGAAUAAAAAAUUGAAAGAUAAAAAAAAACGUACCCGAUAAAACUACGUAUGUGGAAGUGAAAAGGGUUAGUAUAUGAGAAAGGAAGGAUUAGGAAGAAAAGGGGAUGCGCAUUAGAAAGUUUCGGGAGAUGGAUAUGUUGAUUUUGGCUUAAUCCCAAGUCCCACAUCGGUGAGUUCAUUGUUUGGGAGGAGGUUUGAGGGUUAUAAAUUAAACUCUUCUCCUUCACUGUUAAAUAUCCAAAUUUGUAAUAUCUUCUCUCAUAAUAAUAAAAGUGAGUUGUUUUUGCUGUGCUCAGAGAUUAGGCUAAACAGGCCGAACUCCGUUAACAAUUUUCGGGUGUGUUUUUUCCUCUUUAUCUCUUUUAUUAUUCCGCUUUAUUUAUUCAAUAUUAUUUGUCGGGUAGCUCUGUUAGGGUUUUGUUUUAGUGGGAAAAUUACCCGUUUUUUCCAACAAGUGGUAUCAAGAGCCGAAGGUUCGCCUUGGGUUGUUUGAAAUUAUUUGUAAUAUUGAAUAUUAUAUUUUGAGUUUGUAAUGGCAAAUCAAGAAGAAGAAGCGAAGAAUGUAUCCAGAGUGUCAGGCUCCUCGUCAUCAUGGUCGAGGUUCCCAGUGUCCACUUUGAAAUUGGCGGUGGAAAUAUUUGAUGGCACUGGACAUUUUAGCAUGUGGCAAGGAGAGGUCUUGGACUCUCUUUUUCAGCAGGGUCUUGAUUUUGCUAUUGAAGGAGAGAAACCAAAAGAGGUAGAGGAGAAAGACUGGAGUAUCAUCAACCGGUUAGCAUGCGGAACUAUUCGAUCCUACCUGUCCAGAGAGCAGAAGUACGCUGUAAAAAACGUGACUUCUGCACACAAACUGUGGAAGGCAUUGGAGGACAAGUUUCUGAAGAAGAGUGGUCAGAACAAGCUCUUGAUGAAAAAAAGGUUGUUCCAAUUUGACUACCAACAAGGUACUACUAUGAAUGCACACAUCACUAUGUUUAAUCAAUUAGUAGCAUACCUGUUGAAUUUAGAUGUGAAGUUUGAGGAUGAGGAUUUGGCUUUGAUGUUGUUAUCAUCUCUUUCUGAUGAAUUUGAACAUUUGGAGACUACGCUCCUUCACGGGAAGGAGAAUGUGUCAUUAGAUGCUGUUUGUUCUGCUUUAUAUAGUCAUGAAUUAAGAAAGCAGGAUAAGAUGAGAACCAAAUCAACGACAUCAGAAGAAGCAUUGGUGAUAAGAGGUCGUCAGCAAAGCCAAACAAAGGAGAGAAGAGGGAUGUCUAAGUCUAAAGGUUGAGUCGUUGCCAAAGAUGAGUGUGCUUUCUGUCAUGAGNNNNNNNNNNNNNNNNNNNNNNNNNNNNNNNNNNNNNNNNNNNNNNNNNNNNNNNNNNNNNNNNNNNNNNNNNNNNNNNNNNNNNNNNNNNNNNNNNNNNCAAAAGUGAUGUGGAAUCAGAUAUCUCUUUAAUUGUCUCGCUUUCAGCAUCAUCGUAUCCAGAUGAGUGGAUAUUGGAUUCAGGUUGUACUUAUCAUAUGUGUCCCGUUCGAGAUUGGUUCUUUGAAUUUCAAGAACUCGAUGGCGGAGUUGUUUACAUGGGUAAUGAUAAUCCAUGUAAGACAGUCGGAAUAGGUUCAAUCAAGCUGCGGAAUCAUGAUGGAUCCACCAGAAUUUUGCGGGAUGUACGGUACGUGCCAAAGUUGAAGAAGAAUCUCAUCUCAUUGGGGGCUUUAGAAUCUAAAGGCCUAGUCGUGACAAUGUGAGAUGGAAUUCUUAAAGCAACUUUAGGAGCACUAGUGAUGUUGAAAGGCGUGAUGAAGAACAAUUUGUAUUACUAUCAAGGUAGUACAGUGGUGGGGACAGUAGCGACAGCAACUUCUAGCUCUAAGAAGGAUGCUGAGGCAGCGAAGUUGUGGCAUAUGAGGUUGGGACAUGCUGGAGAAAAAUCCUUGCAAAUUCUUACCAAGCAGGGAUUGUUGAAAGGUACGAAGGCUUGCAAACUUGAAUUUUGUGAGCAUUGUGUUCUGGGAAAACAACGAAGAGUGAAGUUUGGCACUGCAAUUCACAAUACCAAGGGUAUUCUGGAUUAUGUGCAUUCAGAUGUGUGGGGACCUGCCAAGACUCCGUCAAUCGGAGGUAGACAUUAUUUUGUCACUUUUGUGGAUGAUUUUUCCAGGAGAGUUUGGGUGUUUACUAUGAAGAACAAAAAUGAUGUGUUUGAAAUUUUCCUUAAGUGGAAAGCUGAAGUUGAAAACCAGACAGGAAGGAAGAUUAAGGUUCUCCAAAUAGACAAUGGAGGAGAAUACAAGAGUGAUCUGUUCCUGAAUGUAUGCCAAGAUUGUGGCAUAGUUCGGCACUUCACUGUUAGAAAAACACCACAACAGAAUGGGGUGUCAGAGCGUAUGAACAAGACACUUGUGGAGAAAGUUUGUUGUAUGUUGUCUAAUGCUGAGUUAGGCAGAGAGUUUUGGGCUGAGGCUGUGACAUACGCUCAACAUCUCGUCAAUCGUUUGUCAUCAUCUGCUAUAGAUGGCAAAACCCUGUUAGAGGUAUGGUCUGGAAAACCUGCAACUGAUUAUGAUUCUUUGCAUGUUUUUGGUUCUAUUGCAUAUUAUCAUGUGAUUGAAUCAAAGUUAGAUCCACGGGCAAAGAAGGCUCUUUUCAUGGGCUUUAGUCCUGGAGUGAAGGGAUACCGUUUGUGGUGUCUAGAGAAAAAGAAGACGAUUAUCAGGAGGGAUGUUACCUUUCAUGAAUCUGCCAUGUUAAAGAAGGUAAAUCCAGAAGGAGCUGAUAGUACUCCACAACAGGUGGAGUGUGUCCGGAAGCAGGUGGAGUUUGAGCCGACAGUGGUGAUCCCAACACGAAAUACCACAAGUGACUCUCCUAUGGCAGAAGAAGAGUCAGAUGAGGAAGAGGUUCCUACCCAAGAAUCUCAACAACAAUCAACGCCAAUUGCAGUUAGAAGACAGAGACGAGAUAUUCAGAAGCCUGCUCGUUUCAUGGAUAUGGUUGCCUAUGCACUUCCAGUUGUUGAUGACAUUCCAUCCACUUACCCAGAAGUCAUUCUGAGUUCAGAGAGUNNNNNNNNNNNNNNNNNNNNNNNNNNNNNNNNNNNNNNNNNNNNNNNNNNNNNNNNNNNNNNNNNNNNNNNNNNNNNNNNNNNNNNNNNNNNNNNNNNNNNNNNNNNNNNNNNNNNNNNNNNNNNNNNNNNNNNNNNNNNNNNNNNNNNNNNNNNNNNNNNNNNNNNNNNNNNNNNNNNNNNNNNNNNNNNNNNNNNNNNNNNNNNNNNNNNNNNNNNNNNNNNNNNNNCCCGGAGGCGCAAAUCUGAAGCACUGCAAAGUUUGUUUUGUUAUGUUUUGAGAAGAUUUGUAUUAGGUGGAACUUGAAAUUAAGCCAAGGUGGAGAUUUGUUGAUUUUGGCUUAAUCCCAAGUCCCACAUCGGUGAGUUCAUUGUUUGGGAGGAGGUUUGAGGGUUAUAAAUUAAACUCUCCUCCUUCACUGUUAAAUAUCCCAAUUUGUAAUAUCUUCUCUCAUAAUAAUAAAAGUGAGUUGUUUUUGCUGUGCUCGGAGAUUAGGCUAAAUAGGCCGAACUCCGUUAACAAUUUUUUUUCCUCUUUAUCUCUUUUAUUAUUCCGCUUUAUUUAUUCAAUAUUAUUUGUCGGGUAGCUCUGUUAGGGUUUUGUUUUAGUGGAAAAAUUACCCGUUUUUUCCCAACAGGAUAUACUGAACACUGAAAAACUCCAUUGUUAUUCUUCUUAUUUGAAUACAAAAUGUUAGUUUUCGUUUCUCUCUUUCCAUUUUCUCUGUUUCUGUUUAUUUUAUUUUAUCUAAUUAUGCUUUUAAUUCUGAUUUUAUUCAAGUCUUUGAUAGAAAGAUAUUUUAAUUUUUUUGUCCUCUAGAUAAAAAAUUUUUAAAAAAAUAUUAUGAUAUUUUAUAUAUUUAUUUUCACAUUUUCAAAAUAUUUUCAAAAGAUAUUUUUUAUAUACGCUUUUUUUUCAUCUAUACUAAAAUUUAAAAUUGUGAAAUUUGAAAAUUGAAUUUUUGAAAUUUAAAAUUUGAUAUUUGAAAUUUGAAAUAUAAAAUUUUAAAUUUUAAAUUCAGAAUUUUAAAUUUUAAAUUUAAAUUUUAAAAUUUAAAUAAAAUGAAAUACUAUUAAUAUAAAGAUAAAAUCAAAAAAUAAAAAAAAAAGUUAUAAAAUCAAUCCUGAUUCAAAAAAUUGUUUUAUCUCUCAACUCCUCCAUCAACUACUCUUAAUUAUUUUAUUUAAAUUUUAAAAAAUGUUUCAUAAUUAUUUAUUAACUGUAUUUUUUAAUUAUUUUGUUUAAAUUCGAAAAAGUUAUUUUGUAACUACCCUAUCAAUUAGUUUAUUUGAAUUCAAAAAAAUUGUUAUGUAACUACUCUAUCAAUUAUUUUUUAUAAAUAUUUUAUUAAAAUCUUAAGAAACUAAUAACUACUCUAUUAACUAAAAAAAAAACAAAAUAAAAUAUUGAUAUGAGAGUAAAUUAGGAAAAAAAAUUACAUAUACUUAAAAACAUUUAAGGAGAAAAAUUUCUUUAUAUAUCUAUAUCUUCUAUAUAUAAAUGGGACUCUUUAACUUUCAAUUUUUUUUUCUAUUUUAUUCUUAUAUUAAUAUUUAUUUUAUUUCAUUAAUAUUUACAUUGCGUCAUUUCUUUUUUUUUUAAACUUUUUAAAUUUUUAAAUUUUAAAUUUUCAAAAUUUUCAAACCCUAAAAUCUUUUUUAAACACUUCAAAAAUUUUAAAUGUUUAAAAUUCUUAAAUUUUUAAAUUUUAAAAAAAAUUAAAUUUUAAAAACUUUUAAAUUUUAAAUUUUCAAAAAUUUUAAAAUUUUUGAACCUAAAGCUUUUUCCGAAACACUUCAAAUUUUAAAUUUUCAAAAUUUUAAAUUUUAAAUUUUCAAAAAUUUUGAAAUUUGAAAAUUUCUUUAAAGUUUCAAAUUUUGAAAUUUCAAAAUUUUCAAAUGUUUUUAAAUUUAAAACUAAAUAAUUGAAGGGUUUAUAAACCAAUCAAACCUUUUUUUUUUCUAUUUUCAUAUUCAAAAUAUCAUAAGUCGUUUCAUUUCAAGAACUACGAAAUCAAAUUAACCAUGUUUUUCAAUGGCUUCUACAGUGUUGGCGCUCGCAAAUUCGUAAGUAUGUGUAUAAUUAUUGUUUUUUGUUUCUUAUAAUAAUUGCUAAAUCCAUUCCAUUAACAACGAUUCUCCAUUUUUUGUUUCAUCGAAACUCUCUCAAAUUGAUCUUUUGGUCUCAUUAUCUUUUCUCUCUAUUCUUUGUAUCUUUCUUCUUCCUUAAUCUCUUUUAAUUUUAUUAUAUAUAUGCGAUUUGCAAUUGGAAGAACUUGCAUGAAGAACUUGCCCGCGUUAUGGCUUGAGAUUUGCAAGCUAUUGUGGGAUGCACCAUUGCACCAGCCACCACUAUGAACAACCCAAAUCUCAUUCUUUCUCAAGGUUUUUGUGCUAAACAAGAUGACUUACUUUGUGAUUUUCAUAAAUUUCCAAAACGUGCUUAAUGAAUUGAAAGAGAUUUUCAAACUUUUCUACCCCGUGUUCAUAAAAACCCUCAUCCCAUCAUUUCAUGUUCCCAACAUAUCCCUCAUAAAAAUGUCAAAGAACUCAAACUAUCAAACAAAGUAAACGAACAAGCACAAGAUUUGCACGACACUGAAGCAUCUAAAUGCAAAAGAAGGUAAGUCAUUCAUCCAACUGAAAUUGAAAAUUCAUAGUCAACUUUUCCUAUCCAUGUUACAAAGACCAAGGUCAAAGACUCAUGGGAAUGUGGAAAAACCAUAAACCAAUGAAUGGUUACACUUUACUCCACAAGAGGACGUUUGUGUUUUCAGAAUUGAAGUGCUCCCAUUUUGCAGAAAAGAAGAGCAAAAAAGAGCAAUUACUAUGUUUUUUCAUGGUGGUCGGGUGUCAGGACAAAAAAACUUCUAAUUAAGGUAAUUGGGGUCAUUGAUGCCAUUGAAAAUGGACCGUCACAAUUUGCCUUCACAUGGUGCAAGAGUUACACGGUCAAAAAGAUCGAUACUUUUAGGAGUCUGUGGUGUAAAGAAACUCAACAAAGCAUCAACAUGAUUCUUUUGGGCAUUUCUUUUAUCAUUAAAGGGGUUAUGCCUUUGGUCUCCUUUGGAGAAUUGUGUGUUCCUACAUAUUUUGAGAUUAUUAUUUUGUAAUCACCUGGUGAUGAGUGUGCAUCUUUCCAUUGGAAAACAUGGGGAAUGUGAGAAGACUAAACUUUUGGUUUAAGGGAACUCCAUUAUAAAACUUUGAUUCAUGUUAGCAAUGAGAAUGGAAGUAAUAAAAUUAACAAAGUAAUGUUAAAGGAAAGAGAGUGAGAAAGGUAAAUGAUGUUUGCUCUCAAGGUAUAAGAGCAAGUACUAUACACUAAUAUUGUUUUGUAUUUUUUUUUUCACUUUUACUAAUAAUAUAAGUGUGAUGUGUAAAUAAUAAUAUUGUUUAUUCAAUUUUACUAUUAAACAUAAUUAUAUAAAAAUAAAAAAUGCGGAUACACAGGCACAUGAGUGCCUGUGUUCCCGCUAGUAAUAUUAAUAAUAAUGUUAAUAAUAAUAUUAAUAAUAAUGUUAAUAAUAAUUUAAUAAUAAUGUUAAUAAUAAUUUAAUAAUAAUGUUAAUAAUAAUUUAAUAAUAUGAGUAUAAUUUAUUUUAUUAUUAUUAAUAAUAAUUAUAUUAAUAUGUAUAAAUUAUAUUAAUAAUAAGUAUAAUAAAAAUGAUAAUAUGACCAAAGAAUUUGGCUGGUCUAGUGGUUAAUGCAAAAUCAAUAUAAACAAAACAAUAAUAAAAUAUAAACUAAUUUUAAACUAAUUACUACAAGAAAAUCAUGAAAUAUAAACUAAUUUUAGAAACCAUUUAACAAUAAUAAAAACUAAUUUAGAAACCAAAAUUUUUUUUAGUCUUUAAAAUGGUUUCUAAUUUAGUCACUAUAGCAACUAAGUAUUUUUUGUCUCUAAAAUUAGUUUCUAUUUCAUGAUUUUCUUUUAGUGAAUAGGAACUUUAAAAAGUGUUACGUGGCAUGUUUUCAUUGGUCCACAGGUAAUGUGUUGAUUGGUGCACAUUUUAUUAUUUUGGGUAUUAAAUAUUUUAAUUUUUUGACAAAAAAACCUUGUAUUAUUUAUAGAAAUAGAUAUUGUAUUAUUUGUAGAUAUAGAUUUUGAUCUAUAAUUCUAUUUGGUCUGAAUAGUCAUCAAAUCUUAAUAUAAUUCAAAUCUUAAUUUGUUAUAUGAUUCAAAUGAGAUUUGUUUGAGUUAGAUAAGAUAAAUAAUGAAUGCAUGGAGAAGAGAGUGAGAGAACUAGAUAAGAUUUAGAGUAUAUAAAUUACAAGAAAAUCAUGAAAUAAAAACUAAUUUUUAGUGACAAAAAAUAAUUAGUUGCUAUAAUGACUAAAUUAUAGACCAUUUUAGAGACUAAAAAAAUUUUGGUUUCUAAAUUAGUUUCUAUUAUUGUUAAAUGGUUUCUAAAUUGGUAUCUAAUUAACAACUAAGGUUUUUGCUACCAAAUUUAGAAACUAAAUAAUUGGUAUUUAAAACAUUAGUUGCUAAUUAGAUACCAAUUUAGAAAUCAUUUAACAAUAAUAGAAACCAAUUUUUGUUUUUAGUUUCUAAAAUGGUUUCUAAUUUAGUUAGUGUAUCAACUAUUUUUUUUUCUUUCUAAAAUUGGUUUCUAUUUUAUGUUUUUCUCGUAGUGAUAUCAGUGGAAUGUUUGCCUCUGCUAUGAAAUAUGUACUUUGAUAUUGUGAUUAUUUAAAUAUUAUAUAUAAUAUAAAUAUAUUCAUUGUCUAUAAAAUAAAUAUUUAUUUUAUGAGUUUUUAUUUUCUUAUCUACAAAUAUAUUAAAAAUAAAAUGUUCGGUGCAAUACAUGACAGUAACACACAUUUGACGCUGCAAACGUGGCAAUGACGUGACAGAGUGAGAUUGUGUGCGAAUGAGCAACGCGAGCUUCAAAAUAGAGUAAAAAAAGAAUAUACUACAUCGGUUCUUAGUAACAACCGGUGUAAUAUAUAUAUAUAUAUAUAUAUAUAUAUAUAUAUAUUUUAUUUUAUUUUAUUUUACUCAAAAUGACCCAUAUUACAUUGGUUAAGUCAUCUAACUGAUGUAAUAUAUGGCUCAUAUUAAAAAAAUGAUUUUUUUCAUAAAGAGUGGGUAAGUCAUAAACGUCACAUAGGUAACCACUUAGAAGCACACGGGUAACCAGUUUUGCGUGUGCCAGUAUAUGUGGAGGAACUUGUGGCUGGGUAGCCAGUUCUAGUAAAGUUAUUACAUCGGUUAAGUCAUCUAACUGAUGUAAUAUAUGAUUUUUACAUUGGUUAAGUCAUCUAACCGAUGUAAUAUAUGAUUUUUACAUUGGUUAAGUCAUCUAAUCGAUGUAGUAUAUGAUUUUUAUUAAAAAAAAUGAUUUUUUUUCAUGAAUACUGGGUGGCCAUAAACGUCACAUAAGUAACCACUUACAGACACCCGAGUAACCAGUUUUGCGUGUGUCAGUAUAUGUGGAGGAACCUGUGACUAGGUAACCAGUUCUGGUAGGGGUUAUUACACCGGUUAAGCCAUCUAGCCGAUGUAAUAUAUGCUUCUUAUUAAAAAAAUUGAAUUUUUUUCAUGAAGAGUCGGUGGUCAUAAGCGUCACAUAAGUAACCACUUACACACAGGGGUAACCAGUUUUGCGUGUCUCACAUAAGUAACUACUUAAAGACACACGGAUAACCAAUUUUACAGAUCAUAUAUUAUAAUAUAAAGUCAGUGUUACAUCCUCACCAAAUGUCAUGUUUGCUGCGUCAAUUAAUAUCACGAAAACGGUAUAAGUAUGUGUUUGUGGCAUAAAGGAAGUUAAGAAAAACAUUUUUCAUACAUUUAUUGGAGCGAGAGAAAACUUUCUAAAAAUCCUGUUACAAAUUAUAUGAAGUUUUGAUAUUUUUAAUUUAUCUCAUAACGCAAGGUUAAUUUUUUAAGUUGUUUUCACUAAAUAAUUGUUUUUAAAACUAUUUUAGUAUAAUUAAAUGAAUGCAUAAAAUAAGUACGACGUACAUACAGAGAAUAUGUUAUUUCAGUACAAAUGUAUUAAAAAAUAUACUUACCUAUGAGAGAGAGCUUUUUUUUAUCAGCAAAUAUUAUAAUUCACUUUAGGAUAAAAAUAAUGAUACAAGACGUUUAUUAUAUCAUAAAUUUAUUUUUAUUUUUACACUUGUAUCAUUAUUGAUGUUCAUAGAAAGGCAAACAUGAUGCAUCCAUAAUUACCGAAUCUGGAAAUGGUUAAGUGCAGGAAGGAAGAGGAGAACCACACAAGCACUUGUUGUUGGCAUAAGAAGAAACGUCAAACCUUUUCAAGUUCCCACCUUGAGGAAUCUCACCGCACAGAUUGUUGAAGCUCACAUUUAAACUUUGCAGAAACUUUAGCUGCGUUAGUCCCUGAGGUAGCGUCCCAUAGAUACGGUUGUUCCUCAGAUCCAACCCGUUCAAGUUCUUUGACAACCCCACUUUCCCCAAAUCAAAAGCAAGAGAGUUCUUCGCCAGAUGUAUCUUCUUCGUGUUCUUAUCUGACCCGAACAACACCGACGCGUCACCCUCCAGCAUGUUCCGAGACAAGUCAACGAACGCCAGGUUCAGAUUCGCAAACGUCGGUGGAAUCUUCCCGGUGAGGCGGUUGCGGGAGAUGGUCAUCGCCGUAAACAGCUUCGAAAACGAGCCGUAGGAGUCGGGGAUGGCGCCGGAGAUUCGGUUGCCGUCGAAUGUGAUUCCUCCGAGGUUGGGGAGAGAAGAGAUGGAGGGAGGGAGGGUGCCGGAGAGGGCGUUGUAGGAGAAGUCGAGGGUGACGAGGGUUUUGAUCUGUGACAAGAAAUCGGGUAUUGCGCCGGAGACAUUGGUGUGAGUGAUAUAGAGAUAGUGGAGUUGGGUGAGUUUAGCGAUGGCGGGGGGGAUUGGACCGACGAGGUUAUUGAUGCCGCCAAUGUAUAGAAAAUUGAGGUAGGGGAGGUUGGCGAGGGAGGAAGGGAUAGGGUAGGGUUUUGGGAGGUUAUGGCCGGAGAGGUCGAGGUUGUUGACGCGAUAUGUUUGGGUGUCGGUGUCGCAUAAAACACCUAGCCAGGUUCUGUUACAACAGUCGGUGGUUGGAAGCCAUGAAGAGAGAGUGGUUGGGUUGCCAAGGUCUUUCUUGAUUUGGAGAAGGGCUUGCUUAU